rnacentral:rRNA from 1 species
GACGAACGCUGGCGGCGUGCUUAACACAUGCAAGUCGAACGGAAAGGCCCUGCUUUUGUGGGGUGCUCGAGUGGCGAACGGGUGAGUAACACGUGAGUAACCUGCCCUUGACUUUGGGAUAACUUCAGGAAACUGGGGCUAAUACCGGAUAGGAGCUCCUGCUGCAUGGUGGGGGUUGGAAAGUUUCGGCGGUUGGGGAUGGACUCGCGGCUAAUCAGCUUGUUGGUUGGGUAGUGGCUUACCAAGGCCUUGACGGGUGGCCGGCCUGCGAGGGUGACCGGCCACAUUGGGACUGAGAUACGGCCCAGACUCCUACGGGAGGCAGCAGUGGGGAAUAUUGCACAAUGGGCGGAAGCCUGAUGCAGCAACGCCGCGUGCGGGAUGACGGCCUUCGGGUUGUAAUCCGCUUUCGCCUGUGACGAAGCGUGAGUGACGGUAAUGGGUAAAGAAGCACCGGCUAACUACGUG